rnacentral:rRNA from 1 species
CCUACGGGAGGCAGCAGUGGGGAAUAUUGGACAAUGGGCGAAAGCCUGAUCCAGCCAUGCCGCGUGUGUGAAGAAGGCCUUCGGGUUGUAAAGCACUUUCAGUGGGGAAGAAAGCCUUGGGGCUAAUACCCUCGAGGAAGGACAUCACCCACAGAAGAAGCACCGGCUAACUCCGUGCCAGCAGCCGCGGUAAUACGGAGGGUGCGAGCGUUAAUCGGAAUUACUGGGCGUAAAGCGUGCGUAGGCGGUCUGAUAAGCCGGUUGUGAAAGCCCCGGGCUCAACCUGGGAACGGCAUCCGGAACUGUCAGGCUAGAGUGCAGGAGAGGAAGGUAGAAUUCCCGGUGUAGCGGUGAAAUGCAUAGAGAUCGGGAGGAAUACCAGUUGCGAAGGCGGCCUUCUGGACUGACACUGACGCUGAGGUGCGAAAGCGUGGGUAGCAAACAGGAUUAGAUACCCUUGUAGUC